rnacentral:rRNA from 1 species
AUUGAACGCUGGCGGCAUGCUUUACACAUGCAAGUCGAACGGUAACAGGCCUCCGGGUGCUGACGCGUGGCGAACGGGUGAGUAAUGCAUCGGAACGUACCCAGCGGUGGGGGUUAACGCAGCGACAGCUGUGCUAAUACCACACGUGAUCUGAGGAUGAAAGCGGGGGUCCGGGCAGCAAUGUUUGGCCUCGCGCCUUUGGAGUGGCCGCUGUUGGAUUAGCUAGUUGGUGGGGUAAUGGCCUACCAGGGCGACUAUCCGUAGCUGGUCUGAGUGAACGGCAGGCGACACGGGGAGGUGAACACGGCCCAUAGGCCUACGGGAGGGAGCAGUGUGGAAUUUUGGACAAUGGGCGCAAGCCUGAUCCAGCGGUGCCGCGUGCGGGAAGAAGGCCUUCGGGGUGUAAUCCGCGUUUGGCAGGUACGAAACGGUGUCCGCUAUUACCGGGCGCUAAUGACGGUACCUGCAAAAUAAGCACCGGCUAACUACGUG